UAACCGAUCCCAAAAUUUUUUUUCCUCAUUUCUUAAUAUUUCUCUCAUUCAUUCAUUCCCUUCCAAUCUCACUCAAAUUUUACAACAACACACACACACGCAGAGAGUAAUUUCCUUCCCCUGACUUCACAUUUUCAUUUCACAAGAAACAAACACGCAGACCGGCUCCUCCUUCACAAGCUUAUAAUUCCAUUCCCCUCUCCCAUUCCCCCUCCCUCACGGUCAAUUCUCCUCUCCCACUCCCCUGUUACCUGUUCCCUCUCCCUCUCCCUUUCGGUCGAUUCCCCUGUCCCUGUUCCCUGCCCUCUCCCUCUUCGUCGAUUCCCCUGUUCCCUUACCCUCUCUCUCUCGGUCGAUCUAUCGGUUUCCCCGUGUUCCCUCUCUGUUUCUCUCGCUAUUUGUGCACAAAGAAGCAAAAAUUCAAGACAGAAGCAGGACAAAGAUGAAAGAUUGAAGGGGUAACAUGGCUCCUCCUUCCCAGUUCUCCUCCCUCUCUCCCCCGGCUACUGUUAAAAAAAAAAAAGAGAUCUUCCAUCCGGGAUAUGGUGGUGGAUCCGGGGAUGAGGUAACGAGGAGGGGAUGCUUUUUGCUGGGGAAGAUUGAUUAACACAGUUUGGGAAUUUUCAAUGCCUUUCUCUGCACUUGAUUUUGUGCCCUUGAUUUGGUUUAUUUGUUC
rnacentral:lncRNA from 1 species